GCGCGCCGCGAGUGUCGUGCGCAACAUGGCGGGGCCCAGGGAGGUUGAGGACGCCGGCGGCCGGUGAGAAACUCCGGUCGCCGGUGAGAAGCUUCGUGCGGCCCGAGUGCGCAGCGUGCGGUCCCUCCGCUCGGUGUUCCCCGCGCUCAGAUCUCGCGCGGUCGUUCUCCCAGGCCCCCGCGCGAUGUGGAGGAGCUGCCUCCGGCUGCGGGGCGGGGGUCGCCACCUCCUGAACUGCCCCCGGGGUGGCCUCACCGCCUCCAGGGGGCCGGGGCCAAAACCCCCGGCCCACGCCCGGGCCUACGCGCCCCCAGCAGCAGAAAGGAAGAGGUUCUAUCAGAAUGUCAGCAUCACACAGGGUGAAGCUGGCUUUGAGAUCAAUCUAGACCACAGGAAGCUGAGGACUCCCCAAGCCAAGCUCUUCACCGUCCCCAGCGAGGCCCUGGCCGUCGCUGUGGCCACUGAGUGGGACUCCCAGCAGGACACCAUCAAGACAUACACCAUGCACCUGACCACACUGUGCAACACGUCUCUAGACAACCCGACCCAGCGAGACAAGGACCAGCUCAUCUGGGCAGCCGCAAAGUUCCUGGACACUGACACCGUCUGGUCGCCUGCUCCUCACUUGUCCUCUGGGUCACGGAUGGCCCGACCUUGGCAUCCAGCGGCCAGCCUCCUCGUCUGCAUCCUCCCUGCGCCUGGGUUCUCUCACGGCUGCAGGGUGGAAGAACCAGAGACGCUGGUGGAGCUGCAGAGGAACGAGUGGGACCCAGUCAUAGGCUGGGCCGAGAGGAGGGUGUUGGGAGGUGUACGCGAAGUGAUGCACCCUGCUUGGCACACACUGAAUGCUCGCAUUGGCAGAUACCGCCCUGCUCGUUGUCACAGUUGCUGUGCAGUCGUAUACACAAUCACAAAGCAGCGUGUGUGAUCCUCACACAUGGAGAAAAGUCUGGACAGGUGAACCUGUGGGUGGGAGGUUUCCAGGGAUUGAUGAUGCCCAGUGCUUUUUCUUGGCAGGAAGACUCUUAUGCAGAAUUGAACAGGCCAUUGAUAUGGCACAGUUGAUUCAGUUUCAUUUCAUUCCCAGGGGAUUCGCAAAGGGCUCUGACCCUGUGCUCCCUUGACCACAGUAUUUUGUAAGUGUGCGUACAUGGAGUGGUUUUGGCAUAGCGUUUUUUAUCUGUACACAUUUCCUGAGCACCCACGAUGUGUCGGCAUCCUUGGGUUUUGUAGUAAGAGGCAUAGCCAGUGUGCUGAAGGAUCAGAUAAAUCCGAACGACUAGAUGCCACGUGAGAACCGCAAAGAUGCGAUGCCAUUUUGGAGUGCAGUGAAAUGGAGCAGUAGUUUGGUGCCUGCAGGCCUUUGCUGUGGUACAGAAUUGUCAGCUUUUUGUGGCAGUUGAAAUUUCUCACCCGUAGCAGAUUACAGGAAAACGUGGCCACUUCCUGUGUUCCAUUUGUACUAUUGGAAAUUUCGGAAAGACUGUUUCUAAACCAAUGGGAAAAAUCAGUGAUAUGUGAGAGGAAAUUACAAAAAUUGCUUUUAUUCCAUUGUUUUUUCCUGCAUUUUAUGUAGUUAAGAUUGUUCUUGAAAAUGUAUUGUUCUUGAAGCUAGCUCGUGUCCCAGACUAAAAACAGUGCCUUGUGUAUGGUAGAGGCUUAAUAAAUGUGUGAAAAAAUGAUUGCCUGAUACAGGACAUACACAACUAUUGUAAAGAAAACAAUAUUUAAAAGAAGUCUUUUAUGGCUCAUAUGUGAGGACUUUUCUGCAAGGGUUUGAAACGCAGGCAGCCCAUAGUUCUGAUGGACGUUCAGGCCGAUGAAUUCGAAUUUCAGGAGCUAUAGGUGACCCCCUGCUUCCCGACUUGCCAGCUGUGCCUCCAUGCAGAGCUGUUUCUUGCCCUCUGCUCUUGGUGACAGAAGGCUACUAGGUCAGGAGGCCACUGACUGCAGUGGCAGGUGCUGUCCGCAUUCCCAGCUGGCCCCUGAAGGGGCACACGUGUGCUCAGCAGGCUGGGGCUCUGCUUCUGGGCAGAAGCUGGGCUGCACAGCAGGACAGACAGACGUGCAGCCUCUUCCUUUUAGAUACGGCGUGAAGAUCGGCUCCUCCACCAGCAUCAUGGGGCCCAGCAUCCCAGCCCGGACUCGGGAGGUGCUGGUCAGCCACCUGGCCUCUUACAACACGUGGGCCCUACAAGGGAUUGAGUUUGUGGUGAGCCAG